rnacentral:rRNA from 1 species
GGGUGAACCUGCGGAAGGGAUCAUUA